CGUUUCCUUGCUGGAGAGAGGCGGCACUGCGUUCGCGCACGGGCCGUCCACCGAAGGAGCAAACCCCGAUCGUGGGGCGAAUCUCUCAGGUAAAGCGGACAGCAGGGGUGGC
rnacentral:ncRNA from 2 species